ACGGGCGGCGGGCCCGGUUCUCCUCCCCUUGCCGGCGGAGGUAGGAGGCGGCCGCCGGCCCUCCCCGACCGCGCAUGCGGCUGUGCUGGGACGGGGCAGCGCCGCUGUGCUCGUGGGUUGAAGUGUGGGUGUCCGUAGCCCUGGUUCCCUCCCUGAGGGGCCCCCGUCAGCGCCCCAGCAGAUGGGCUUAGGCUGGAGCAGUGCGGAGGAGCGGCAGCCCCUUUUGCCGCCGCCGCCACAGCAACAGCAGGAACGGCGGCGGCCGCGGGAGCCGGCGGGGGCCCCGGCGCUGCCGGCGGCGGUGCCGGGGCCGGUGCGACGCUUGCCGCCGUUGGCGGGCCGCGUCUAUGGGCGGCGGUGGCUGGUGCUGCUGCUCUUCUCGCUGCUGGGCUUUGCGCAGGGCCUGGUGUGGAACAGCUGGGGCCCCAUCCAGAACUCGGCCCGCCUGGCCUUCGGCUUCAGCGGCUGGGACAUCGCCCUUCUCGUCUUCUGGGGGCCCAUCGGCUUCGUGCCCUGCUUCUUCUUCAUGUGGCUCAUGGACAAGAAGGGUCUGAGAGUAACUGUUUUGCUAACAUCAUCUCUCAUGGUGCUGGGAGCUGGCCUGAGAUGUGUUCCUGUUUCAGACCUAGAAAUCAGGAAGAAGCUUAUCCACGGAGGGCAGCUGCUAAACGGCUUGGCGGGGCCGACUGUGAUGAACGCGGCGCCAUUCCUUUCCACCACCUGGUUUUCUCCAGAUGAACGUGCCACAGCAACAGCCAUCGCAUCGUUGCUCAGUUCCCUGGGUGCUGCUGGUGCCUUUCUAGUGGGACCUCUUGUUGUGCCAUCUCCUAAUGGAACGUCUCACCUCCUGCUGGCAUCACCGAGCAGCACUGAACACAUCAAGGACCGCAUUGAGGCUGUGCUGUAUGCAGAAUUUGGAAUGGUUUCCCUGAUAUUUUCUGCAGCAUUGGCCUACUUCCCCUCACGCCCUCCAUUCCCUCCCAGCGUGGCUGCAGCGAGUCAACGGCUCAGCUACAGGAGGAGUUUUUGCAGGCUCUUAAGCAAUUUCCGAUUCUUGAUGAUUGCUUUAGCCUAUGCUAUACCACUGGGUGUUUUCUCUGGCUGGUCUGGUGUUCUGGAUUUGAUAUUAACACCAGUUCAUGUAAGCCAAGUAGAUGCAGGGUGGAUUGGAUUUUGGUCUAUAGUUGGAGGUUGUGUUGUUGGCAUAGCAAUGGCAAGAUUUGCAGAUUUUAUCAGGGGCAUGCUGAAGUUUAUACUGCUGCUGCUUUUAUCUGGAGCAACAUUAGCAUCAACCUGGUUCACUCUCACCUGCCUAACUAGUGUCACUCAUCUGCCUUUAACCACAGCUACACUGUACACAUCCUGUAUUUUGUUGGGUAUAUUCCUCAACAGCAGUGUACCAAUAUUCUUUGAACUCUUUGUGGAGACAGUCUACCCUGUUCCAGAAGGAAUUACCUGUGGAGUUGUCACCUUUUUGAGUAAUGUGUUUAUGGGAGUGCUUUUGUUUUUCCUCACAUUUUACCAUACAGAGUUUUCUUGGUUCAACUGGUGCCUGCCAGGAUCCUGUCUGCUCAGCCUGCUUCUCAUCCUGUGCUUCCGUGAGUCCUAUGACAGACUCUAUCUCGAUGUCGUCGUCUCUGUGUGAUUACAGUGGACUGGCGAGAGAUUGGAAAAGACUGGAAGCCAGCUUUGCAGUCUGCACAUCUGCCUGGAUUUGCACAACUGAACAGCAGGAAAACAACUGCAAGACUGUAAUCGUGGCUUUCUUAGAGAGGUGGCUGGAAGAGUUUCAGUAUCCAGUAGCUGCUGCUACCUAUUGUCUUCUGAAACCAGGGAUCACUUGCCAAGAGUCUGAUUGGAGUUGCAUUGUCAUGGCAGAAUGGCAAGCUCGGAUGGCUCUUCAGAGCUCUGCUCCUACAAUUUACUGUAGCUAUAUUAAGAUUAAAAUUGCACAGCUCGGGCGCUGUCCCGAGCGAUGGAGAUUUCUAAUCCUUUCACUGUCAUGACUAUUUUAACAUGGAGAAGCACUUCAGGCAGUGUUCAGACCAUAACCUAUCCUGCCUCUGUUCCAGACAGCCUUGAACAAUUUAAAAUAUUUUUCAGUGCUGCCAGAUGCAGGCUUUCUCUACAGCCAGAGCAGAAGAGUGAGUAUCUUGUGUUAAACCCCACUGAUUGUUUUUGUGAGUCUCUGUGAAUUGCUCACUGCUUUUGUGAACCUUCAUGCUGCGGUAGAAAUUUCUGAGUGCAGUGGGUUGACCCCAGAUGGACACCAGAUUCCCACCAGAGCUGCUCUAUCACUCCCCUCUUCAGCUGGACAUGGGAGAGAAAGUAUAAUGAAAGGCUUAUGGGUUAGGUGCAGGAAGAGAUUACUCAGUAAUUACCAUCAACAGGCAAAAUAGUCUCAGAUUGGGGAACCUUUACCAAUCAGGUCAGAGUAGUAGGGUAAUGAGAAAUGAACCCAAAUCUUUAAACACCUUUCCCCAACUUCUCCCUUCUUCCUGGGCUUCACUCUACUCCUGAUUUUCUCUACCUUCAGGGGUGGGCAGUGGGAGUUCUAAUCAGUUCAUUACUGAUGUUGUCUCCACUGCUGCUUUCUCCUUAGGGAGAGGACUCCUUAUGCUCUAUGUCCUGUGUGGGGUCCUUCCACAGGAGACAAUACUCCACAAACUUCUCCCAUGAGCUGCAGUUCUUCACCGACUGCUCCAACAUGGGUCCCUUCCAGAGAGUGCAGUCCUUCAGGAGUGCUAUUCCAGUGUGGGUCUCCCACAGUGGGACAAGUCCUGCCCCCAAACCUGCUCCAUCAGGGGCUCCUCUCUCUGCAGGUCCUGCCAGGAGGCUGCUCCAGUAGGCUUACCACAGGGUCACACCCUCUUUUGGGCAAACACCUGCUCCAGCAUGGGGUCCUUCAUGGGCUGCAGAGGGAUCUGAUAUACUACCAAGGGACACCCUGCCUUACCAUGGUCUUCCCCAUGAGGCACCUCUUCCCACUCUCUCUUCACUGACUUUGGUGUCUACAGCGUUUUUCCUUUCACAUAUUCUCACUCCUCUCUUCGGCUGCUGUCAUGCAGCAGUUUCCUCUCCUUAAAUUUGUUAUCCCAGAGGCAUUACUGCCGUUGCUGCUGGGCUCAGCCUUGACCAGUGGUGGGUCCUUCUUGGAGCUGGCUGGCAUUGGCUCUGUCAGACACGGGGGAAGCUUCUAGCAAUUUCUUACAGAAGCCACACCUAUAGCCCCUCUGCUCACAAAACCUCAC